GCGAUGGGGUGACGCAGGAAGGUAGUCCAGCCCAGGCGAUGGUUGUUCCUGGGGUAAGCAUGUAGGGCGGAGUAUAGGCAAAUCCGUACUCCACGUGCCUGAGGUGUGAUGCCGAGCCGAUUGUGGCGAAGUGGAUGAUCCUAUGCUGCCGAGAAAAGCCUCUAGUGAGUGUUGCGGCGGCCCGUACCCUAAACCGACUCAGGUGGUCAGGUAGAGAAUACUAAGGCGAUCGGGUGAACUGUGGUUAAGGAACUCGGCAAAUUGCCCCCGUAACUUCGGGAGAAGGGGGGCCUCUGCUGGUGAUGGGACGUGCUCCUUGAGCUGGUGGGGGUCGCAGUGGCCAGGGGGAAGCGACUGUUUACUAAAAACACAGGUCCGUGCGAAGUCGUAAGACGAUGUAUACGGACUGACGCCUGCCCGGUGCCGGAACGUUAAGGGGACCGGUUAGUCGUCUUCGGAUGGCGAAGCUGAGAACUUAAGCGCCGGUAAACGGCGGUGGUAACUAUAACCAUCCUAAGGUAGCGAAAUUCCUUGUCGGGUAAGUUCCGACCUGCACGAAUGGCGUAACGACUUCCCCGCUGUCUCAACCGCAGACCCGGCGAAAUUGCAUUACGAGUAAAGAUGCUCGUUACGCGCAGCAGGACGGAAAGACCCCGGGACCUUCACUAUAGCUUGACAUUGGUGUUUGGGACGGCUUGUGUAGGAUAGGUGGGAGACUGUGAAGCCUUCACGCUAGUGUGGGUGGAGUCAUUGGUGAAAUACCACUCUGGUCGUUUUGGAUGUCUAACUCUGGUCCGUGAUCCGGAUCGGGGACAGUGUCUGGUGGGUAGUUUAACUGGGGCGGUUGCCUCCUAAAGGGUAACGGAGGCGCCCAAAGGUUCCCUCAGCCUGGUUGGCAAUCAGGUGUUGAGUGUAAGUGCACAAGGGAGCUUGACUGUGAGACCGACGGGUCGAGCAGGAGCGAAAGCUGGGACUAGUGAUCCGGCAUCGGCUUGUGGAAGCGGUGUCGCUCAACGGCUAAAAGGUACCCCGGGGAUAACAGGCUGAUCUUCCCCAAGAGUCCAUAUCGACGGGAUGGUUUGGCACCUCGAUGUCGGCUCGUCGCAUCCUGGGGCUGGAGUAGGUCCCAAGGGUUGGGCUGUUCGCCCAUUAAAGCGGUACGCGAGCUGGGUUUAGAACGUCGCGAGACAGUUCGGUCCCUAUCCGCUGUGCGCGUAGGAGACUUGAAAGGGGCUGUCCCUAGUACGAGAGGACCGGGACGGACGAACCUCUGGUGUGCCAGUUGUAUCGCCAGGUGCAUGGCUGGUUGGCUACGUUCGGAAGGGAUAACCGCUGAAAGCAUCUAAGCGGGAAGCUCGCCUUGAGAUGAGGUCUCCCUCCAAGUGAUUGGGUAAGGCUCCCGGUUGAUGAUCGGGUUGAUAGGCCGGAGGUGGAAGCGCGGUAACGUGUGGAGCUGACCGGUACUAAUAGGCCGAGGACUUGACCA
rnacentral:rRNA from 1 species